CUAAGGUUUUCUAAAUCAGAAGGAAACGAUGAUUUAGAAAAGGAUUGGGACGAUUCGGAAAAAGUUUAGCUGCCUCGUUUCACAGUAAUGUGAAAUUGGUCCAAAACAUGGCUGUAUGCUGGGAACCCGAUAUGCUUCGGGCAAUCAGCAGGGAAGUCCUUUGUGACCCCUCAGAGACCACACGCCGUGCUCCCAGUUAAUUGGGAUGAAGAUAUGGUCCAUCGCAUAAGGGAAGCGAUAA
rnacentral:ncRNA from 1 species